GUAGUCGUGGCCGAGUGGUUAAUGCGAUGGACUUGAAAUCCAUUGGGGUCUCUCCGCGCAGGUUCGAAUCCUGCCGACUACG
rfam:Danio rerio chromosome 4, GRCz11 reference primary assembly.